rnacentral:rRNA from 1 species
ACCCCAGGUCAGGUGGGAUUACCCGCUGAGUUUAAGCAUAUCAAAAGCCGGAAGGAA